GGGUUGUGAGGUUAAGCGACUAAGCGUACACGGUGGAUGCCCUGGCAGUCAGAGGCGAUGAAGGGCGUGCUAAUCUGCGAUAAGCGCCGGUAAGGUGAUAUGAACCGUUAUAACCGGCGAUACCCGAAUGGGGAAACCCAGUGUGAUUCGUCACACUAUCAUUAACUGAAUCCAUAGGUUAAUGAGGCGAACCGGGGGAACUGAAACAUCUAAGUACCCCGAGGAAAAGAAAUCAACCGAGAUUCCCCCAGUAGCGGCGAGCGAACGGGGAGGAGCCCAGAGCCUGAAUCAGCAUGUGUGUUAGUGGAAGCGUCUGGAAAGGCGCGCGAUACAGGGUGACAGCCCCGUACACAAAAGCGCAUGUGCUGUGAGCUCGAUGAGUAGGGCGGGACACGUGGUAUCCUGUCUGAAUAUGGGGGGACCAUCCUCCAAGGCUAAAUACUCCUGACUGACCGAUAGUGAACCAGUACCGUGAGGGAAAGGCGAAAAGAACCCCGGCGAGGGGAGUGAAAAAGAACCUGAAACCGUGUACGUACAAGCAGUGGGAGCNNNNNNNNNNNNNNNNNNNNNNNNNNNNNNNNNNNNNNNNNNNNNNNNNNNGGGCGUUAAGUUGCAGGGUAUAGACCCGAAACCCGGUGAUCUAGCCAUGGGCAGGUUGAAGGUUGGGUAACACUAACUGGAGGACCGAACCGACUAAUGUUGAAAAAUUAGCGGAUGACCUGUGGCUGGGGGUGAAAGGCCAAUCAAACCGGGAGAUAGCUGGUUCUCCCCGAAAGCUAUUUAGGUAGCGCCUCGUGAAUUCAUCUCCGGGGGUAGAGCACUGUUUCGGCUAGGGGGCCAUCCCGGCUUACCAACCCGAUGCAAACUGCGAAUACCGGAGAAUGUUAUCACGGGAGACACACGGCGGGUGCUAACGUCCGUCGUGAAGAGGGAAACAACCCAGACCGCCAGCUAAGGUCCCAAAGUCAUGGUUAAGUGGGAAACGAUGUGGGAAGGCCCAGACAGCCAGGAUGUUGGCUUAGAAGCAGCCAUCAUUUAAAGAAAGCGUAAUAGCUCACUGGUCGAGUCGGCCUGCGCGGAAGAUGUAACGGGGCUAAACCAUGCACCGAAGCUGCGGCAGCGACACUGUGUGUUGUUGGGUAGGGGAGCGUUCUGUAAGCCUGUGAAGGUGUGUCGUGAGGCAUGCUGGAGGUAUCAGAAGUGCGAAUGCUGACAUAAGUAACGAUAAAGCGGGUGAAAAGCCCGCUCGCCGGAAGACCAAGGGUUCCUGUCCAACGUUAAUCGGGGCAGGGUGAGUCGACCCCUAAGGCGAGGCCGAAAGGCGUAGUCGAUGGGAAACGGGUUAAUAUUCCCGUACUUGGUGUUACUGCGAAGGGGGGACGGAGAAGGCUAUGUUGGCCGGGCGACGGUUGUCCCGGUUUAAGCGUGUAGGUGUGUGUUCCAGGUAAAUCCGGUUCACUUUAACACUGAGGCGUGACGACGAGGCACUACGGUGCUGAAGCAACAAAUGCCCUGCUUCCAGGAAAAGCCUCUAAGCAUCAGGUAACAUCAAAUCGUACCCCAAACCGACACAGGUGGUCAGGUAGAGAAUACCAAGGCGCUUGAGAGAACUCGGGUGAAGGAACUAGGCAAAAUGGUGCCGUAACUUCGGGAGAAGGCACGCUGACACGUAGGUGAAGUGAUUUACUCAUGGAGCUGAAGUCAGUCGAAGAUACCAGCUGGCUGCAACUGUUUAUUAAAAACACAGCACUGUGCAAACACGAAAGUGGACGUAUACGGUGUGACGCCUGCCCGGUGCCGGAAGGUUAAUUGAUGGGGUCAGCGCAAGCGAAGCUCCUGAUCGAAGCCCCGGUAAACGGCGGCCGUAACUAUAACGGUCCUAAGGUAGCGAAAUUCCUUGUCGGGUAAGUUCCGACCUGCACGAAUGGCGUAAUGAUGGCCAGGCUGUCUCCACCCGAGACUCAGUGAAAUUGAACUCGCUGUGAAGAUGCAGUGUACCCGCGGCAAGACGGAAAGACCCCGUGAACCUUUACUAUAGCUUGACACUGAACAUUGAGCCUUGAUGUGUAGGAUAGGUGGGAGGCUUUGAAGUGUGGACGCCAGUCUGCAUGGAGCCGACCUUGAAAUACCACCCUUUAAUGUUUGAUGUUCUAACGUGGACCCGUUACCCGGGUUGCGGACAGUGUCUGGUGGGUAGUUUGACUGGGGCGGUCUCCUCCUAAAGAGUAACGGAGGAGCACGAAGGUUGGCUAAUCCUGGUCGGACAUCAGGAGGUUAGUGCAAUGGCAUAAGCCAGCUUGACUGCGAGCGUGACGGCGCGAGCAGGUGCGAAAGCAGGUCAUAGUGAUCCGGUGGUUCUGAAUGGAAGGGCCAUCGCUCAACGGAUAAAAGGUACUCCGGGGAUAACAGGCUGAUACCGCCCAAGAGUUCAUAUCGACGGCGGUGUUUGGCACCUCGAUGUCGGCUCAUCACAUCCUGGGGCUGAAGUAGGUCCCAAGGGUAUGGCUGUUCGCCAUUUAAAGUGGUACGCGAGCUGGGUUUAGAACGUCGUGAGACAGUUCGGUCCCUAUCUGCCGUGGGCGCUGGAGAACUGAGGGGGGCUGCUCCUAGUACGAGAGGACCGGAGUGGACGCAUCACUGGUGUUCGGGUUGUCAUGCCAAUGGCACUGCCCGGUAGCUAAAUGCGGAAGAGAUAAGUGCUGAAAGCAUCUAAGCACGAAACUUGCCCCGAGAUGAGUUCUCCCUGAGACUUAGAGUCUCCUGAAGGAACGUUGAAGACGACGACGUUGAUAGGCCGGGUGUGUAAGCGCAGCGAUGCGUUGAGCUAACCGGUACUAAUGAACCGUGAGGCUUAACCUUACAACGCCGAAG
rnacentral:rRNA from 1 species